rnacentral:rRNA from 1 species
AUUGAACGCUGGCGGCAGGCCUAACACAUGCAAGUCGAACGGUAACAGGAAGAAGCUUGCUUCUUUGCUGACGAGUGGCGGACGGGUGAGUAAUGUCUGGGAAACUGCCUGAUGGAGGGGGAUAACUACUGGAAACGGUAGCUAAUACCGCAUAACGUCGCAAGACCAAAGAGGGGGACCUUCUGGCCUCUUGCCAUCUGAUGUGCCCAGAUGGGAUUAGCUAGUAGGUGGGGUAACGGCUCACCUUGGCGACGAUCCCUAGCUCGUCUGAGAGGAUGACCAGCGACACUGGAACUGGGACACGGUCCAGACUCCUACGGGAGGCAGCAGUGGGGAAUAUUGCACAAUGGGCGCAAGCCUGAUGCAGCCAUGCCGCGUGUAUGAAGAAGGCCUUCGGGUUGUAAAGUACUUGCAGCGGGGAGGAAGGGAGUAAAGUUAAUACCUUUGAUCAUUGACGUUACCCGCAGAAGAAGCACCGGCUAACUCCGUG